rnacentral:tRNA from 1 species
GCCCGGGUGGCGGAAUCGGUAGACGCAGGGGACUCAAAAUCCCCCACCACGCGAGUGGUAUACGAGUUCGAGUCUCGUCCCGGGUA